AGGCCUUGGUCAACUGGUAACACCAAGAUGGAAGAGAUCCACUACAAAGUGCAAGAGCAUCCUGGAUCUGUCGUGCCAAUUUCGGAGUGAGCUUACUAUUGACAAAUUCCUCAGAAGGGAUUUUGAUACCCGUAGUACCGAGCUCAUCUAGACUAGAAAUUUUUCCUUCAGAGAAAUCAUCAAUCAUGGACAGGACUCUCAAACGGGGGGCAAGCUGAUUCAGCGCCUCCAAUACACGUAAGAGGUACAAAAUACUGUAAGUAGGGUUACUUUUCUCCAGAUCACAAGGAAGUUCUCCCUGCAAUAUACUAUCUAACAAUGAUGCU
rnacentral:misc_RNA from 1 species